GCGGCCUAUCAGGUUGUAGUGGGUGUAACGUACCUACUAGCCGACGACGGGUACGGGUUGUGAGAGCAAGAGCCCGGAGAUGGAUUCUGAGACACGAAUCCAGGCCCUACGGGGUGCAGCAGGCGCGAAACCUUUACAAUGUGCGAAAGCAUGAUAAGGGAACUCCGAGUGCCAGUAUCUAAUACUGGCUGUCCUUGUGCCUAAAACGCACAAGAUAGCAAGGGCCGGGUAAGACCGGUGCCAGCCGCCGCGGUAACACCGGCGGCCCGAGUGGUAGCCGCUAUUAUUGGGUCUAAAGGGUCCGUAGCCGGUUCGAUAAGUCCUCUGGGAAAUCUGGUUGCUUAACAAUCAGACUGCCAAGGGAUACUGUCGAACUUGAGACCGGGAGAGGUAAGAGGUACUUCAGGGGUAGGAGUGAAAUCUUGUAAUCCCUGGGGGACCAUCUGUGGCGAAGGCGUCUUACCAGAACGGGUCUGACGGUGAGGGACGAAAGCUGGGGGCGCAAACCGGAUUAGAUACCCGGGUAGUCCCAGCCGUAAACGAUGCUCGCUAUGUGUCAGGUACGGUGUGACCGUAUCUGGUGCCGUAGGGAAGCCGUGAAGCGAGCCACCU
rnacentral:rRNA from 1 species